UCGGGAAUUUUGGGCAAUGGGCGAAAGCCUGACCCAGCAACGCCGCGUGAAGGAUGAAGUAUUUCGGUAUGUAAACUUCGAAAGAAUAGGAAGAAUAAAUGACGGUACUAUUUAUAAGGUCCGGCUAACUCUGUGCCAGCAGCCGCGGUAAUGCAGAGGGUGCAAGCGUUGUCCGGAUUUAUUGGGCGUAAAGCGUCUGUAGGCCGUUGACCAAGUCUGGAGUGAAAGCACGGGGCUUAACCCCGUCCACGCUUUGGAAACUGGUUGACUAGAGAAUGUUAGAGGUAAGUGGAAUUUCCGGUGUAGCGGUGAAAUGCGUAGAUAUCGGAAGGAACACCAGAGGCGAAGGCGACUUACUGGGACAUUUCUGACGCUGAGAGACGAAAGCUAGGGUAGCGAAAGGGAUUAGAUACCCCCGUAGUCCCUGAGCGGGCUGGCAAGGCGCAU
rnacentral:rRNA from 1 species